rnacentral:misc_RNA from 1 species
GAUGAAGAACGUAGCGAAAUGCGAUAAGUAAUGUGAAUUGCAGAAUUCAGUGAAUCAUCGAAUCUUUGAACGCACAUUGCGCCCGCCAGUAUUCUGGCGGGCAUGCCUGUUCGAGCGUCAUUUCAACCCUCAAGCCCUCGGGUUUGGUGUUGGGGAUCGGCGAGCCUUUCUGGCAAGCCGGCCCCGAAAUCUAGUGGCGGUCUCGCUGCAGCCUCCAUUGCGUAGUAGUAGAACCCUCGCAACUGGAACGCGGCGCGGCCAAGCCGUUAAACCCCCAACUUCUGAAUGUUGACCUCGGAUCAGGUAGGAAUACCCGCUGAACUUAAGCAUAUCAAUAAGCGGAGGA